rnacentral:rRNA from 1 species
AACGUAGGAGACAAACGUUAUCCGGAGUUACUGGGCGUAAAGAGCGUGUAGGCGGUUUGGUAGGUCCGCUGUGAAAACUCGAGGCUCAACCUCGAGACGCCGGUGGAAACCAUCAGGCUAGAGUCCGGAAGAGGAGAGUGGAAUUCCGGGUGUAGCGGUGGAAUGCGUAGAGAUCCGGAAGAACACCGGUGGCGAAGGCGGCCUGCUGGGCAGUAGCUGACACUGAGGCGCGACAGCGUGGGGGAGCAAACAGG